rnacentral:rRNA from 1 species
AGAUUGAACGCUGGCGGCAUGCUUUACACAUGCAAGUCGAACGGUAACAGGCCGCAAGGUGCUGACGAGUGGCGAACGGGUGAGUAAUGUAUCGGAACGUGCCCAGUCGUGGGGGAUAACGCAGCGAAAGCUGCGCUAAUACCGCAUACGAUCUAUGGAUGAAAGCGGGGGACCGUAAGGCCUCGCGCGAUUGGAGCGGCCGAUAUCAGAUUAGGUAGUUGGUGGGGUAAAGGCUCACCAAGCCAACGAUCUGUAGCUGGUCUGAGAGGACGACCAGCCACACUGGGACUGAGACACGGCCCAGACUCCUACGGGAGGCAGCAGUGGGGAAUUUUGGACAAUGGGCGCAAGCCUGAUCCAGCAAUGCCGCGUGCAGGAAGAAGGCCUUCGGUUGUAAACUGCUUUUUGUACGGAACGAAACGGUCCUGGUUAAUACCUGGGCUAAUGACGGUACCGUAAGAAUAAGCACCGGCUAACUACGUGCCAGCAGCCGCGGUAAC